GAAAAGGAGCAAUCCGAUGCAGGAUGGGUCCGCGUCCCAUUAGCCAGUUGGUGAGGUAACGGCUCACCAAGGCGACGAUGGGUAGCCGGCCUGAGAGGGUGAACGGCCACACUGGGACUGAGAUACGGCCCAGACUCCUACGGGAGGCAGCAGUCGGGGAUAUUCCACAAUGGGCGAAAGCCUGAUGGAGCGACGCCGCGUGAGUGAUGAAGGCCUUCGGGUCGUAAAGCUCUGUUACCAGGGACGAAACAAGACGGUACCUGGGGAGGAAGCCACGGCUAACUACGUGCCAGCAGCCGCGGUAAUACGUAGGUGGCGAGCGUUGUCCGGAAUUAUUGGGCGUAAAGGGCGCGUAGGCGGUUUUUUAAGUCAGGUGUGAAAGCCCCCGGCUCAACUGGGGAG
rnacentral:rRNA from 1 species